CUGUCGUCAGCUCGUGCGUGAGUGUUGGGUUAAGUCCCGCAACGAGCGCAACCCCUAUCUUUAGUUGCCAUCAGUUCGGCUGGGCACUCUAUGGAGACUGCCACCUAAAGUGGAGGAAGGUGGGGAUGACGUCAAGUCAGCAUGGCCCUUACGUCCGGGGCUACACACGUGCUACAAUGGCCGGUACAAAGGGUUGCGAAGCCGUGAGGUGGAGCGAAUCUCAAAAAGCCGGCCUCAGUUCGGAUUGGAGGCUGCAACUCGCCUCCAUGAAGUCGGAAUCGCUAGUAACCGCAGAUCAGCUACGUUGCGGUGAAUACGUUCCCGGGCCUU
rnacentral:rRNA from 1 species